AUGUUUAAUCAUUUUGAUAUGACCUCUAAUCUUGGUGAUGAUUCUGUGUUGAAUGACUUAUUGCAUGUUUGCUUAUUUAAGCAUGUUGUAGCAUGUAAAUUUGAUGCAAGUAAGGUUUAUUCACCAAUGUUGGGAUGGUUUAAUGAACAUUGUCAAUCUUUUGAAAUGAAUAAGAGCUUCACUUAUAUGUGCAAACUAAGUUGCAAUAUUUUCAUGCCUUCUACUUCUUGUGCUAAUGUUUUGGCUUUAGAUUUUAUAGACUAUGCAAGUUACUCAUCUAUUCUUGUGUCAUAUAUGCAAAAAUCGAGGGAAGUAAAAAUGGAUGACAUAUACAUAUACAAAGUGUACACCUUGUCUCUUUUGUUAGCCACAUUUCCGAUUAAGCAACGCCGAGGACGGCUUUAUUUUUAA
rnacentral:rRNA from 1 species